AAUCGGGUCAGGUCGAGUCAUAGUGAAUUUCUAAAGAAAUUAGUUUCAGUAGGUUGAAACGAAAAGAAGGUUAACGAACGUGCUUUUGCAUUAUUUUGGUAUAGCUUGUUCGCUCCGUCUUCAAGUUAUAUUGGGUCGUGCCAUGUUUUGCCUACAACCAAGGCAGGCGCUACCGCCGUUUUGCCUCACCCGAUUUUGUCUAUUGCCCGUGAAACGUUGAGCCUCAAUUGUGCUGACAAAUUGAGGUCAUGGUGGUGUUGGUCUUGUC
rnacentral:lncRNA from 1 species